UUGACCUCGGAUCAGGUAGGAAUACCCGCUGAACUUAAGCAUAUCAAUAAGCGGAGGAAAAGAAACCAACAGGGAUUGCCCUAGUAACGGCGAGUGAAGCGGCAACAGCUCAAAUUUGAAAUCUGGCUCUCGGGCCCGAGUUGUAAUUUGUAGAGGAUGCUUUUGGUGAGGUGCCUUCCGAGUUCCCUGGAACGGGACGCCAUAGAGGGUGAGAGCCCCGUCUGGUUGGACACCGAGCCUCUGUAAAGCUCCUUCGACGAGUCGAGUAGUUUGGGAAUGCUGCUCUAAAUGGGAGGUAUAUGUCUUCUAAAGCUAAAUAUUGGCCAGAGACCGAUAGCGCACAAGUAGAGUGAUCGAAAGAUGAAAAGCACUUUGAAAAGAGAGUUAAAAAGCACGUGAAAUUGUUGAAAGGGAAGCGCUUGUGACCAGACUUGGGCUUGGUUAAUCAUCCGGCGUUCUCGCCGGUGCACUUUUCCAGUCCAGGCCAGCAUCAGUUUGCCUUGGGGGAUAAAAGCUUCGGGAAUGUGGCUCCUCCGGGAGUGUUAUAGCCCGUUGCACAAUACCCUGGGGCGGACUGAGGUUCGCGCAUUCGCAAGGAUGCUGGCGUAAUGGUCAUCAGCGACCCG
rnacentral:rRNA from 2 species